CCUACGGGAGGCAGCAGUGAGGAAUAUUGGUCAAUGGACGAGAGUCUGAACCAGCCAAGUAGCGUGAAGGAUGACUGCCCUAUGGGUUGUAAACUUCUUUUAUAUGGGAAUAAAAUGUUCCACGUGUGGGAUUUUGUAUGUACCAUAUGAAUAAGGAUCGGCUAACUCCGUGCCAGCAGCCGCGGUAAUACGGAGGAUCCGAGCGUUAUCCGGAUUUAUUGGGUGUAAAGGGAGCGUAGGUGGAUUGUUAAGUCAGUUGUGAAAGUUUGCGGCUCAACCGUAAAAGUGCAGUUGAAACUGGCAGUCUUGAGUACAGUAGAGGUGGGCGGAAGUCGUGGUGUAGCGGUGAAAUGCUUAGAUAUCACGAAGAACUCCGAUUGCGAAGGCAGUUCACUGGACUGCAACUGACACUGAGGCGCGAAAGUGUGGGUAUCAAACAGGAUUAGAUACCCGAGUAGUC
rnacentral:rRNA from 1 species